UCCCCUUAGGAAUGUCCACAAGGACACCAUUUUGUCCCAGCAUUGCCAUGUUCAUUUUAUCUAGUGUGUAUGUGUUACUAUCACAUCAUGAAGGUCAGAGACAGAAAAGUGAGACUGAAAUAAGAAGGAACAGUGAUGCCAAAGAGGUACCUGUAUGCAUCUUAAUGCACACAGUUUGCACUUACUUUAAUACUUUCAAAAGCGGAGAACUGUAUGUAAUCUGGCAUUUGUAAAGUAAAUCUGAAGAUUUGCAGAGAAAUCCAGGCUAUCAGUAGGAAUAAUAUCCCCAGUUACUGAGCCUGCUAGAAAUAUUCGGCAUCUGUAGGUAUUAAAAAUCUUGGAGACAGGACAAAAAAUAUCAGCCAUGAGCAAAAAUACAAUACAUAUUUCUGUGUGUUCAGCAGGUAAAUAAAACAAUGCCAUAAGGCUUGCAAGAUAUUUGGAGGAAGGUCAGAAAAGUUCAGGAGAAGAUUUUGUUUCAUGAUGAAGUGCUCCCUGAAGAUCUGCCUCAUCCACAAAUUAGUUGCAGAAGGAGCCACAAACAGUGAAAGACUUCCAGUGACAGAGGCACAAAGCAAUUGGGCAUUGUGCACAACCACCAUCCUGCCCUCCAUCCUGGAACACCCCACCAUCCCACAGGGAUGCUGCAGGAAAUGGAGUCACAGCCUGCUCAGCCACUGCCUGCGAGCCCACAGGCAUUGUAGGAAGUGACUCUUACUACAGAAAACUCUCCAGAUAACCUCGGAGGGGGUAAGCUAUGCUGAUCGCACUCCUACAUCCAAGCUUUUUGCCUAUCUCCCAAAACACUUCUGUUGCUUUUUCUACAAAACAGCAGGAAAAAGGUUUUAAGGCAUCAGAAACGUUUGUGGUCUUUGUGUAAUAAUAAGUAGAUUUAAAGUACAUUUCUAUGUGAUACACAGUAUAGAUAAGCAAAGAUUUCAACCCAGCUUCAUUAAUAUUAGAGAUAGCUUAAGACCAUUUUUGUUCAGAAUACAUUGAACGUGGAAGUUACACACUUUCCUGUAAUGAGAAGAUGUAAAAAUAGUUAUGCAUGUUAAAAUGCUGUCACAUCUUCUUUUAAUUAAGUAUUACUAAGCUGCCCUGAUACGGUCAUUUUUGUGUCCUAUGAGUCAGCUGCACCAUAAAGGUCCUUCAGAUUUCUAUUUAAUUUGAAAUGUCCAUGGGUUUAAUAGACUGGAAUAAGACAGGAAACGUCCUGAGUUUUCUAACAAAUCUCACACCUGUUUGGCGUCCCAUAAACAACAUUUUGUUGAAUCUGCCUUCAAAUUCCUUGCACUUCUGUGAAUAUUUUCAGCCUAAAUAGAAGUAGACAGAAGCAGACAGGACCAAGGAUCUCUAAAGGAAGCUCUCUGUCUCUCUUUUGCAAGUUUUCCUGGAUGAAUUCACAGAACCAGUCGUGCAAACUUUUUUAUUUGUUACAGCUGCAGACUUGCAAUCAGUUGAUCCAUAAACUUUCUAAGUGAACAAUUUGGUGGGUGACCAAAGGUAGAACUUCCCCUAAAGCAGGUAGAGAGAGAGACAGUUCCAUGGGAACUGUUUUUAUUUUGAUGGAAACAACACUGCAAUAAUAAGUUACAGGAGGAAACAGAAAUUUAAAACUCAUAUAAUAGAAGAAACAUCUGUGUGACCUAACUUUGUUAUUCAAUAUAAAAAUCCUGUUCAAUAACUUCCCUAACAUAUUACCUAUUAU
ensembl:lncRNA